UACGAAGGGGCUAGGCGUUGCUCGGAAUCACUGGCGUAAAGGCGCAACGUAGGCGGAUUGCUAAGUCAGGGGUGAAAUCCUGGAGCUCAACUCCAGAACUGCCCUUGAUACUGGCCGGUCUCGAGUCCGGGAGAGGUGAGUGGAACUGCGAGUGUAGAGGUGAAAUUCGUAGAUAUUACGCAAGAACACCAGUGGCGAAGGCGGACUCACUGGCCCGGUACGCGACGCUGACGGUGCGGAA
rnacentral:rRNA from 1 species